rnacentral:lncRNA from 1 species
UCGGUUAUCCUGUAAGGUUCUCCCCAGUUUGGAGAUAAUUUUUUCUGAUCAAAAGAUUUUGAGACUUCUGCUUUUCUUAAGAUCAGAUCUCCAAGAUGAAAGACCUUCAGUUUAACUUUUACAUUAUAAUACCGGGCUAUCCUUAGUCGACAGGCUGCCAUCCGAAUUUGAGCUUGCUGUCGGACUUCUGAAAGUAGAUCUAGAUCGGCUUUCCGACAUUCUGAGUUACUUGGUUCACUGUAUUGCUCUAUCCUUGCUGAUGGUAAUUCGAUCUUAAGUGAGAUCAUCGCCUCUAUUCUAUAAGCUAAAUUAAAUGAUGAUUCUCCC